rnacentral:tRNA from 1 species
CAAGAAAGUCACAAGAACUGCUA